UACGGAGGGUGCGAGCGUUGUCCGGAAUCAUUGGGCGUAAGGGCGCGUAGGUGGCCCGGUCAGUUCGUGGUGAAAGCGCGGGGCUCAACCCUGCGUCGGCCAUGAAUACUGCCGCGGCUGGAGCACUGUAGAGGCAGGCGGAAUUCCGGGUGUAGCGGUGGAAUGCGUAGAGAUCCGGAGGAACACCAGCGGCGAAGGCGGCAUCCGUGGACUGGUACUGACGCU
rnacentral:rRNA from 1 species